rnacentral:lncRNA from 10 species
CCACACCACCGCUGCCAUCCUGUCUGCAUCCUGAACAGUGUGUGUGAGCCUGGACCAGGGGCUCAGCACAGGCCCUUUCUCAGCCUGGAAUUCUCACUUCUGCAUCGCACAGGAUGGGUUCAGAGGCUCCUCGGGCCAGUUUGCCAGCAGAGUCUGCUCCCCAAGGCAGCAGGCCAGGCUGCCCGGAGGCCUCUCUGAACCCUCUUGAGCCCACCCUGUGCCCUCUCCCUGGUGUUCCACUUCUCCCAGCCCCCUUCCGAGAGCUUCAGCAAUGCCAGGUGCUGUACCUGUCCCUCCCAAGGCACCCUCCUGCCCCUCCCCUCACUUAUACAAGUUGUGUGCCCUGGUCCCUGUGUUUGCUUUCUCACUUCCUCCAUGAGGACGGGGUCAUCUGGGACAUCCCGCAGAGGUGGGCCUCCUGAGACCCGCCACUAGUGCUCGUCCCCUUAAUGGGAAUCAUGUCCAGGGUCCACAGGCAAGACCAGGCCCUUCCCUGCACAACAGCCUCUCCUCAGCUCUGCACGAGGACCACAAAUCCACUCACUUGGAAGCCCCUGUGGGAAGGGAGCCGCUCACUCCCUCUUGCCAUUUAUUUCUCCUGCAUAUACCAAAAGAAAACCCGGUAGAUCCACAGAUCCUCUUUCCCCCAUGAUACAUUGUUGCUCAGUUGUGUCUGGAGGGGCCAUUGGCAGAGGCAGCAAGGCUCUGCUCUGGGGUAGGUAAUCACAAGCUUCCCCUCACCACCUCUCACCCCAGCCCAGACACAGCGAUAAGGGAGGUCGGAGCAACCAGCGCUCUGCUGGAACAGUGGCCCCAAGCUCUGCACAGGGCACACCUGCAGAGGAUGCACACCGGCCUGCCGUCCCUCCCAGCCACCGGGGCUCAGGGUGCAGAGCUUAGAUGGCUGGAGGCCAAAAACCAUGUGGUCACAUCUCAUUGCAUGGACAGAGGGCCGAGGGUACAUCAAACGUUGUCACCAACCCCUCUCUGCUCUAGUGUCUCAUUGUAGUUUAAGUAAUCAGAAGUAUUCUAGGGAGGGGAGAAAGGUCCCAUUUCGGUGACCCCUCAAGUACCACCCACUCAUCUAUUGUCCCUGAUUCCUGCCCUGCUCUCUCUUGGGAAACUGCUGUUGUUAAAGUUGCUGACAGCCUCCUGGUUGCCAAAUCAAGGCACACUGGUCAUUGCUGUCUUCCACAGCCUCUCUCAAGCAUCUCCGCUGUAGACAUGUCCUCUGCCAUAGAGCUCACCUUCCUAGGCCUGGGGCACACCUUUCUUCUGUCUCCUGUUAGUUCUCCAAAUGCUCCCAGGCACUGUGAUGCGACACACCCCAGGCCAAGCUCACUAUUUCCUACUCUUCAGCCCCUAAAGUUACCCCUCUUGUCUGCUGUAUUCUAGGGUCACUACUCACACAGUGUCCUCAACUGGAAACUUAGGGUCAUCCUUGGACUCCUCUCUUGCUCCAGCUCCACUCUAUAACCCCCUCCAAAUCCUUCUCUGAGUGCUGUCACUAUCCAGUCUUAAAAAGUGUUCCGUUCUAUUGUCUUGCCUAGAUUGUUGCAAUAGUCUUUUAAAUGGUCUCCAUUCAAUUGUCUUCUCUUAUUCUAUCUGCCAAACUAAACCCGUCAGAUCACAGUCAGCCGCUGGAUGAAGGACUUGUGGGUAAAACCUGUGCUUUUCAGUGGGGUGUGCAGAGCCCCUCACUGUGGGCUGAGCUUCCUCUGCUUCCUCCUAAUUGGCAAUAACCUUUCACUGGAAAUCUCCAGUCACCCCUAAGCCAGGACUGCGCUUUUCUCUCUAGUGCAAGUGGAAAAGUCCAGCUUAUUUAAGGGUCUCCCUCUCAAACAGGGGCACCUUUGAGAGGCCUUGACCAGCCUCCCAGGUUCCUCUAGUCCCCAGCACUUGGUCAUGGAGACCCCAUCACAGCACCAGCCACAGCGUGUGAGGCUGGUUGGCCUCCUGCCUCUUCACCUCGGGGGGAUUUCUUCAAGGGUAAGAACUUUGCUUUCAGCCAACCGUGCAUGUCCUGGGAUUAGCAAGGGUCUGGCAUCUAGUGAGCCUCAGCAAACACUGAGUGUUAAGGUUCAAGAAAGGACUUUAUACAAGAGGAAGUCAAAGAAAUAGGGAAAGGUCGGCAAGAGUGGUACCAAAUAAGAGGUACCAAGAAAGAGGAAAAUAAUAAGCAAAGGUGGGAUACAGCCUCCAGGGACAUCACGUGCUGGGCUCUGGCUCACCAAGGCCAGAGACCUUGUGGAAAGGGCUCCAAGAGAUUUGACCGAAUGGGA